AUGGGCUCCAGGCUUCUCUGCUGUGUGGCCCUUUGUCUCCUGGGAGCAAGUGCAGUGGAUUCUGGAGUCACUCAAACACCAAGACAUCUGAUUAAAACAAAAGGACAGCAAGUGACACUGAGAUGUUCCCCUAUCUCUGGGCACCCCCGUGUAUCUUGGUACCAACAGGCACUGGGCCAGGGCCCCCAGUUCUUCUUUCAGUAUUACAUGGGGAGAGAGAAUGGAAAAGGAGACAUCCCAGAUCGAUUCAAAGGGCAGCAGUUCAGUGACUAUCGCUCUGAGCUGAAUGUGAACAUCCUGGAGCUGACGGACUUGGCCCUGUAUCUCUGUGCCAGCAGUGCAGCACAGCUCUGCAGAGUCACCCGCAUUCUGUGCACAAUCCUCCCUGCCCUGGCAUGGAGCAACCUCAGAGCCAACAGAUCUGUGAGGACCUCGGGACUGCAGCAGGAGAGAAAAACGAAUUAG